UUAUUUUGAGAAAAGGCUUCGGCAGCAAACUCCAGAAAAAAACUUCCCAAACCCUGGGCAACUGAGGUUCUGAUGUGGAGCUCUGGAUGGAAAGCGUGCUGAAGUCUUGUUAAACUAGCAAGCUUUUGUUUGGAGGUCCACCGCCGAAGGCGCACAGGCCUGUGCGAACACGAGCGUUGAGACUAGGGGGGUCUAGAUGAUCCAAGGGGUAGGCAGAGUGUGAGCAACGGCAGGUAUCGGGGACACACCCGCGGAGCCCUAGGAAGGGGACUGACCGGGACAUGGAGGAGCUCGGACCUCAGGCACAUGCGAAUGACCCGGAGUGUGGACAACGUCCAGUUCCUGCCCUUUCUCACCACGGAAGUCAACAACCUGGGCUGGCUGAGUUAUGGGGCUUUGAAGGGAGACGGGAUCCUCAUCGUCGUCAACACAGUGGGUGCUGCGCUUCAGACCCUGUAUAUCUUGGCAUAUCUGCAUUACUGCCCUCGGAAGCGUGUUGUGCUCCUACAGACUGCAACCCUGCUAGGGGUCCUUCUCCUGGGUUAUGGCUACUUUUGGCUCCUGGUACCCAACCCUGAGGCCCGGCUUCAGCAGUUGGGCCUCUUCUGCAGUGUCUUCACCAUCAGCAUGUACCUCUCACCACUGGCUGACUUGGCUAAGGUGAUUCAAACUAAAUCAACCCAAUGUCUCUCCUACCCACUCACCAUUGCUACCCUUCUCACCUCUGCCUCCUGGUGCCUCUAUGGGUUUCGACUCAGAGAUCCCUAUAU
rnacentral:sRNA from 1 species